CACUCAACGACAGCAAAAUUUUGACAGUUAACAAAUUUCGGGGCAAAAGUUUGGCACAUGUUUGCCAUUGACAGAGAAUUAUGCACAGGAAAGCUGGAAAGCAGGAAAGCAGGGAGGCGGAAGGGCCCCCCGCCCCCGGCCCCCUUCUGGGGCGACAAAAUUAAGUGAGGCAUUCGUGCGUGGCCAACAAAGACAAACAGACAAACAAAAGUCGGAGGUAGACGCAAGGACAGAGCCAGGAGAAAAUCGGAAAAUCAAUUGGGCUUCGGAGCGGACAAGUGCGUGGCUUCUCCGGGCGAAGGGCCCGCCGGAAGGGCCCAAACUGUUGCGUCUAAUCUAGAGAAAUCAUUCACCGCAAAUCAGACAAUUCCCUGUACAAGCUGUGCAACUAAUUAAAUGAUGAAUGCCCCCGACGACAGCCCAGGGAGUUAGUUGGAAUACUUGCCACAGUGGCAUAAGGCAGCCAGCCGGCUGAGGCAUCCCCGCAUUUCCCAGAAGUUUGAUUGAACAAUGGAAUGGUUUAAUUAAUAAAUAAAUAGGUGUGUGUA